GGCAGUGUAAUGCAGUGGUUAGCAUCUCCCUUUCCCAUGGGAACAACACUCGGGUGUCGUCCUUGGGAGGAAGGGAAAACCUUGGUUCGAAUCCGAGCUCUGCCA
rnacentral:tRNA from 1 species